AUGGUCCUCAAGAUGAAGUCACAGACUCAGGUGUCCAUAUUCCUGUUGCUCUGGCUAUCUGGUGUUGCUGGAGACAUUGUGAUGACCCAGUCUCAUAAAACCUUGUUCACGUCAAUAGGAGAAGUGGUUACCAUCAAAUGCAAGGCUAGUCAGAAUGUGGGUGUUGGUGUAGCCUUGUAUCAACAGAAUCCAGGGCAGUCUCCUAAACUGCUCAUAUAUGGGACAUCCACCCGUUUCACUGGAGUCCCUGAUUGCUUCAUAGGAAGUGGAUCUGGGACAGAUUUCAUUCUCACCAUCAGCAGUGUGCAGGCUGAAGACCUGGCAGUUUAUUACUGUCAGCAGCCUUAUAGAUCUCCUCUCACAGUGCUUCAGCCUCCUACACAAACCUCAUCUGAGAUGCUAACCAGCUGCCUGUACCACACAUCCACAGACCUACAUACUUACCCUCUGCCUACAGCUGCUAAGCCUAACUGUUGCAAUGUUUGA